CCCCAGGAGGCAAAGAUCCGACUCCAUCUGUCCAGAGUCCAAACCGGAGACUCUGGGAUUUACACCUGCUACCUGAACGCCGACUUCGAUGACGUCACAGAGAAAUGGAGACUUCAAAUGAAAGAACAAUUUGUUCUGAACGUUACGAUUGGAGGAAAUGACAAUCCGUCAGGAAACAUACUUUUUGUCGCGACGCCUCCAUAUGCUGAACUCGCUCCAACCGGACCGGACCAAACCAUUAGAUUGGCUGUGACACUUUCAGUCGCUGCUGUAUUUGUGGCUCUAAUACUUUACAUUCUUUACCGUUUUGUUCAAUCUCGAAGGUAAUUUUCAAUGUGACUCUAAUUCAAAACCAGUAAGA